AUUGGGGACAUUUCCAGUAGCAUUGCUGGGUUGUCGCUGUCUAUAUUGAAACGGACAAGGCUUCUCCUUUUGGCUUAGACGUUGUGAGAAUUUUUCGUGGAUGGACUGGGCAUCUUGCCUGUCGGUUCCUGCACUGAUGUUUCUAUCGGUCACCGAGCACAUAAUCCCGCAUCUGAUCCCAACCCGACUAAGGUAGAAGACCAAUAUAAAAGGUUCCGGACCAACACCCAAGCACAGGUCCAAUUUAAGCUAUCUUUGCACUACUUCAAAAACCAACUGAAAUGCUACUCAAGAAGAUAACCCUUUUAUCCUGCUGUGUGCAAUGCCUACUGUAACCUCCCUGAUGCCCAUGGCAGGAGUACACUCUGGGUUUCCGCCUAAUUGCCUUAUUUGUGCCACACUGAAUGCCUUUCUUUUGCACGUACCUUUCUAUAAAAACUUUUGAAUGGGCUGAA